UUACUAGAGUAGCACUCGCAUAUCAAUAAGCGGAGGAAAAGAAACUAACAAGGAUUCCCCUAGUAACGGCGAGUGAAGCGGGAAGAGCUCAAAUUUGAAAUCUUAAAGGGUUUCCCUUUACGAAUUGUAGUUUAAAGAAGUGUUUUCUGUUGAGGUUUUGGUAAAAGUUCUUUGGAAUAGGACAUCAUAGAGGGUGAGAAUCCCGUAUUUGACCUUUACUUUCAACUUUGUGAUACACUUUCAAAGAGUCGGAUUGUUUGGGAAUGCAGUCCAAAAUGGGUGGUAAAUUUCAUCUAAAGCUAAAUAUUGGCGAGAGACCGAUAGCGAACAAGUACCGUGAGGGAAAGAUGAAAAGAACUUUGAAAAGAGAGUUAAACAGUACGUGAAAUUGUCAAAAGGGAAGCGUUUGACACCAGUGUUGUUUUUCUGAAAAUCAAUUAAAGAACUGUUUAUGCUAAGUUGUUUAGACUUUAUCAGCUAUCUGCUUAGUUUUGAGCUUUUCUUUAAUGCACUUUUCAGUUAACAAGUCAACAUCAAUUUCUUUUGCUGUAAAAAGGCUUGAGGAAGGUGGCUUGAGAUUCGUCUUAAGUGUUUAUAGCCUCUUGCCUAUGCAGUCGGAGAGAUUGAGGUCUGCAGCGUAGAUCCUUCGGGGCUAAAUGCAUUUGUGCUAAGUUAUAGCAUUUCUAUAGACAACUUGUUGACUAUGAUUUGUCUUGUAGCUUACUCGCUUAUGUUAUUUUACCUACGCUUAGGAUGUUGAACUCUAUCACACACAG
rnacentral:rRNA from 1 species